rnacentral:lncRNA from 1 species
AACGAACAGAGCAAGAGCAAGAAAUUGUAGUGUCAAUUGUUACUGUGUGUGGGUGAGAGAGGAUGUAGAUGAGAAACAAAUUGGAUAAGUGAGGAAGGUGGAUUAAGGUUAGGGGAGUGUCUCUGAUAUUUUUUUUUUUUCAGUUGGGACUAUUCUAGGGAUGACAAAGAGAAGGUUAUAGUGAGAGAGAUGAAAGAGAAAUAGUUGAGAGGAAUGAGGGAUGAGAGAGUGGUAAGUAAGGAUUUUGAGGUUUCUUGUUUUUUAGUUUUGAGAAUGAAAAUUAUUCAAAUACCCUUGACCUUAAAACUUAGAAUCCAUAAUAUAUGAGAGUAUUUUAUUUUACUAAAUCGGUACACUUUGCUAAAAUGUACCAACUGAAAAAGGAACUUAAGUAUGUUAGC